GCUUCAAACGUCACUGAAGUGAUUCAAACGUCACGAGUCACGUGACCAAACCACGCCUCGGCACAGUGGCUCGAUACGUUUGCUUCAUGAACUCAGAGGACCAUCACUAGCAGCAGAGACUCUGCUCUCCUCGUUUGGAUUGAUUCUGAUAUAAUAACUGUUGGUUUAUUUAUCGGUGCAGCAGCAGAACAUUUUCCACAGACAGUUUUCCUGCCUGUUGGCUUGUUUUAACCAGUUUUCUGCCUUCGGCUGAUUUUACCAGCAGACACUGAAAGGACUCUGAUACUUCGACGUGGUGGAGUUUCAGGUGUAGACAUUUUUAAACACGUGGGUGCAGCAGCGCCUGUAACUAGGCAACCAGAGGCAGGACGGGCAGGACCUGGUAGGAGCGGGUAGGACCGGCAGGACCAGACAGGACCGGGCAGGACCGGGCAGGACCGGGUAGGACCGGGUAGGACCGGGCAGGACCAGACAGGACCAGAGUGAAAGUAGCAGUUCCUCCUGAAGGUCAGAGAUUGCAGCAUCUGAGGGCCUCUUCAAAAGAAGACGUAGUUGAUGAAGGCGUUCUGGAGCAGGACCAGAAAGACCACGACCAAGCAGCCUUGAGAUCUGAGGCAGCGUCUCCCUCAGGUCCCUCUCUAUCUCCCUACACAUCCACCAACCACUGGAACACAUCUCCAAAGUUCUGCUGGACCAGCUCAGCUUCCCCUCAGAAGAAGUGGUGCCACCUGCCAGAUGAAGGAGCCUUUUGAGAGGCAGCUGGCAUCAUGAUUGGACUGUACUUUGGUCUGUUCCAAUCCAGCUUCAGCUCCAGAGACGGCAGGCGGGACGAGUCAACGGAGGCCGGAUGGACGAAGGCAUGAAACUAAAGAACUACAGACUCUUCACAACCUGCUCAAAUUCUUGGUACAGGACCUCACCACACGGGUCAAGAAGGUUUCCUUCUCAUUUCUACUCUGAAGCUCACCUUCUCCUGCUCAAACUGCUGAC
ensembl:lncRNA